UACAAGGCAUACGGCUCAGUAACGCGUAGCCUAUCUAACCUAUGGACGGGAAUAACCUCGGGAAACUGAGAAUAAUGCCCGAUAGAACAUUAUGCCUGGAAUGGUUUAUGUUCCAAAUGAUUUAUCGCCGUAGGAUGGGACUGCGGCCUAUCAGUUUGUUGGUGAGGUAAUGGCCCACCAAGACUAUUACAGGUACGGGCUCUGAGAGGAGUAGCCCGGAGAUGGGUACUGAGACACGGACCCAGGCCCUAUGGGGCGCAGCAGGCGAGAAAACUUUGCAAUGUGCGAAAGCACGACAAGGUUAAUCCGAGUGGUUUCUGCUAAAGAAACCUUUUGUCAGUCCUAGAAACACUGAUGAAUAAGGGGUGGGCAAGUUCUGGUGUCAGCCGCCGCGGUAAAACCAGCACCUCAAGUGGUCAGGAUGAUUAUUGGGCCUAAAGCAUCCGUAGCCGGCUCUGUAAGUUUUCGGUUAAAUCUGUACGCUCAACGUACAGGCUGCCGGGAAUACUGCAGAGCUAGGGAGUGGGAGAGGUAGACGGUACUCGGUAGGAAGGGGUAAAAUCCUUUGAUCUAUUGAUGACCACCUGUGGCGAAGGCGGUCUACCCGAACACGUCCGACGGUGAGGGAUGAAAGCUGGGGGAGCAAACCGGAUUAGAUACCCGGGUAGUCCCAGC
rnacentral:rRNA from 1 species